CCCCUCUCAGGAUGGCACCUGGAGAGUUUCCAGUACUCUACCAGUCUCGACUACGAGAGGGAGAGUAAAGCAGAGGCCUACCCGUUCCACUCCCAGCUUGGCCAGUGGCUAGCGAGUGGCGGGCCGUCUGCUACAAGU